CUCAUCCCUGCUCACAUACUUAUCCCUAUCACAUACUUACUCAUCCCUAUUCACAUGCUUACUCAUCCCUACUCACAUGCUUACUCAUCCCUAUUUACAUGCUUACUCAUCCCUACUCACAUACUUAUCCCUACUCACAUGCUUACUCAUCCCUGCUCACAUACUUAUCCCCAUUCACACACAUCCCUAUUCACAUGCUUACUUAUCCCUAUCACAUGCUUACUUGUCCCUACUCACAUACUUAUCCCUAGUCACAUACUUAUCCCUGUUCACAUACUUACUUGUCCCUACUCACAUACUUAACCCUGUUCACAUUCUUACUUAUCCAUAGUUAAGUGUAGCUACCAACCCUUACCGAAGAAGCUUCUCUUUGUACUAGACUGCUACAUAGAACCACAAUUGGCCAAAAUCUGGAGAGCAGCUGCUCGUGGGUGCCCAGCCCCAGUGGAUAUAUCAGCAGCACAACUCCUACACCGAAUGUUCAGAGAACAUCUUGGAAGAAGACAAAAAAGACUUGGAGCCAGAGGCCCAGGAAAUCUUCUGUAAAAUUGCAUCUCCUAGAAAGGACAGGAAAGUUUCACCUGUGAUACCUCAGCAGCACGGUUAUCUAAAAACAACCUGAACAAGGGCAGCAGCAACAGAUGAGCCAACAGAUUAGUGGAACUACCGCAGAGAAGUUCCUUUGCGCAUCGAUAGCGGUUAAAGCAGAAACUCACAGAUGGUUUGAGUGGGAAGAAGUGAGCAGAGUCCUUCGUCGUGAAUGGGCAUCUAUGUCACAACCCCUUGCAAGGCUCAGGCAGCAUCUCAGAAGAGGAGGAUGGGUAAAUUGUAAGAGCCAGCAGUCAGAGAGGACAGCAGUGACACAGUGUCUUCCAGACCUGACAGGGCAGCUGACUCAGGACCUCAGCAGCUUAGCUAUCUUACAAGAUCAAAGCUGUCGAUGCUCUUCUCACAGAGUGGGGUGGAGUUCAUGACCCCACCCUAACUGAAGAUCUCUGGACAGUUGAUGGCUUCCAGGGAAACUGAGUCAGUUGUAUUUAAGACUGCAGCUCCUGGAAGGUCCACCAUGCUCCGGUGGAUAGCCCCACCUGGGAGAAUACAGACAGGACUCCAAGAUGGGUGAAGGCAAGGAGUUGGGGUGAAUAUACUUAAAAUACAGCCUCUGGAUUCUUGAAGAAUGAAUAGAAAUAUUUUAAAUCUAGACCGAAAAUAAAGUGAUAUCCACUUGU